UACGUAGGGGGCGAGCGUUGCCCGGAUUCAUUGGGCGUAAAGGGCGCGUAGGCGGCAAAUUAAGUCAGCUGUGAAAUCUCCGAGCUUAACUCGGAACGGUCAGCUGAUACUGAUCUGCUAGAGUGCGGAAGGGGCAAUCGGAAUUCUUGGUGUAGCGGUGAAAUGCGUAGAUAUCAGGAGGAACACCGGUGGCGAAGGCGGGUCUCUGGGCCGAUACUGACGCUGAGGAGCGAAAGCGUGGGGAGCAAACAGG
rnacentral:rRNA from 1 species